ACGGCCGCAGUACCCUGACUGUGCAAAGGUAGCAUAAUCAUUUGCCCCCUAUACUAUAGGGGCUUGUAUGAACGGACUAACGAGUUUCUAACUAUCUUUACUAUAUUAUAUGAAAACUGAUAUACCAGUGAAAAAGCUGCUAUUGAACUGAAAGACAAGAAGACCCUGUUGAGCUUAACUAAAACACCGUUUUACACGGCCAAAGGUUUAGUUGGGGCAACUAUAAAUUAAACAAACAUUUUAACCAAUCUAGGCCUUACGCCUCACACCAGACCCUCWWKAUCAAUAAAUAUAGCUACCUCAGGGAUAACAGGCUAAUUUCUUUUAAGAGCACAAAUUGACAAAGAAGAUUGGCACCUCGAUGUUGGCUUAGUGUCCCCUGUUUAGUGCAGCAGCUAUCAAAGGUGGG
rnacentral:rRNA from 1 species